UGCACUUGUUCGGAACCCUGCCUGGUCCAAGCGAGUAGCGAUUAGCCUGUCGUUUUCUGCUUCUUGAUUUUUCUUCUUUUCUUCAAUUUUUUCUAUGGUUGCGUUCCGUUGUUGCUGCAGUUUUUUGAGAUUCCUGGUAUAGUAAUGAGAUUCCUGAUAUGGUAAUGCGAUUAUUUUACAUUUUCUGGUUAGGAUCUUGCUGACGUGAGAAUUGAGAUCGAUCUGAAAGGCUUGAUUGUGCCUUCCCUACAUCAAUCCAUCUUGAAGUCUCUUGGAAAUUCCCCAAAAGCUAAAAAGAACCUGUUUGGUGGUUGCAUUGUUUGCUUUGGUAAUUCAACUUUGCUUUUGCUUGUUUCUUCUUUAUUCCGUGCCAAUGAUGAUUCACUUUCAAGGUGAAUUCUUUGAUUGUUUUGUGAUGUUCUUGAGGCGUUCAACUGAGGCACGACCGAAUCGAAAUUUAAUUACUGCUUUGUAGUUCAUCAAAAUCUUGGCUUUAAUUCAGUAGUAGAAAAUUGAACUUUGAAACUUUGUAUUCGUGUCAAAUCUUUUUUUAUGUUACUCAUCUCAAGUGUACUAGUGAUGCUGAAUUUUGGAUGACUUUAUUUGCUGGUUCACAGCUACGGUGAUAUGCAUUUGAGGUGUACACCUGAGGCACGUCGCACGCUUGAAGAAGCCUAUGCACUUGUUCUUUCUGAUCCUUAAGUUUGAAGGUUCAUUCGUUUGGUCUUUCGAAUGGUUCUUAUUGCAUCAGCAGCUAAUUUCUUGCAUGAAAAUAGCGAUUUGCUUAGGUUACCCUGCACCUACUUUCAACAAAUAUGUCAUGUUUUUUCUCAUUCAUUUGUGAUUUGCCUCCAACGUCCUCAUGAGUUUGAUCAGUACAAUAUCAUGCAUUUUCUUAAUCAAGUGUAUGGUUUGGAAAAAAAGAUGCGUUGAAGUAUCAAUGCCAAUUAGAAUAAACUAGUGCUAACUUAGUCAUGCUAAAAUAACUAGCAUGAACCACGGAAGGAGGAAAUAACUGGAUUCGUGUGGCUGCAUGUAUGUAUGUUAAUUUGGACUUUAGACAUAAUAUAGCAUUAGUUUGUAUGGGGUGUGGGUUUUAUCUAUCUCGAUCUGGUCUUAAUAAAUUAAGAUUUUCUCUCA